UACAGAGGGUGCAAGCGUUGCUCGGAAUCAUUGGGCGUAAAGGGUAGGUAGGUGGUCUCGUUUGUCUGGGGUGAAAGCCUUGAGCUUAACUCAAGAAGUGCCUUAGAAACGGCGAGACUGGAGUCUUGGAGAGGGUCGUGGAAUUCCCGGUGUAGCGGUGAAAUGCGUAGAGAUCGGGAGGAACACCAGAGGCGAAGGCGGCGACCUGGACAAGUACUGACACUCAACUACGAAAGCGUGGGGAGCAAACAGG
rnacentral:rRNA from 1 species